rnacentral:rRNA from 1 species
UAUGCACUUUAUACUGUGAAACUGCGAAUGGCUCAUUAAAUCAGUUAUCGUUUAUUUGAUAGUACCUUACUACAUGGAUACCUGUGGUAAUUCUAGAGCUAAUACAUGCUGAAAACCCCAACUUCGGAAGGGGUGUAUUUAUUAGAUAAAAAACCAAUGCCCUCCGGGGCUCCUUGGUGAAUCAUAAUAACUUAACGAAUCGCAUGGCCUUGCGCCGGCGAUGGUUCAUUCAAAUUUCUGCCCUAUCAACUUUCGAUGGUAGGAUAGUGGCCUACCAUGGUGGCAACGGGUAACGGGGAAUUAGGGUUCGAUUCCGGAGAGGGAGCCUGAGAAACGGCUACCACAUCCAAGGAAGGCAGCAGGCGCGCAAAUUACCCAAUCCCGACACGGGGAGGUAGUGACAAUAAAUACUGAUACGGGGCUCUUUUGGGUCUCGUAAUUGGAAUGAGUACAAUCUAAAUCCCUUAACGAGGAACAAUUGGAGGGCAAGUCUGGUGCUAGCAGCCAACUGACU